rnacentral:rRNA from 1 species
UACGUAGGGUGCGAGCGUUGUCCGGAAUUAUUGGGCGUAAAGAGCUUGUAGGCGGUCUGUCGCGUCUGCUGUGAAAAUCCGGGGCUCAACCCCGGACUUGCAGUGGGUACGGGCAGACUAGAGUGUGGUAGGGGAGACUGGAAUUCCUGGUGUAGCGGUGAAAUGCGCAGAUAUCAGGAGGAACACCUGCGGCGAAGGCGGGUUGCUGGGCCGACACUGACGCUGAGGCGCGAAAGCUAGGGGAGCGAACGGG